AGUGAACGCUGGCGGUAGGCCUAACACAUGCAAGUCGAACGGCAGCACAGUAAGAGCUUGCUCUUACGGGUGGCGAGUGGCGGACGGGUGAGGAAUACAUCGGAAUCUACUUUUUCGUGGGGGAUAACGGAGGGAAACUUACGCUAAUACCGCAUAUGACCUACGGGUGAAAGCAGGGGAUCUUCGGACCUUGGGCGAUUGAAUGAGCCGAUGUCGGAUUAGCUAGUUGGCGGGGUAAAGGCCCACCAAGGCGACGAUCCGUAGCUGGUCUGAGAGGAUGAUCAGCCACACUGGAACUGAGACACGGUCCAGACUCCUACGGGAGGCAGCAGUGGGGAAUAUUGGACAAUGGGCGCAAGCCUGAUCCAGCCAUACCGCGUGGGUGAAGAAGGCCUUCGGGUUGUAAAGCCCUUUUGUUGGGAAAGAAAAGCAGCAGGUUAAUACCCCGCUGUUCUGACGGUACCCAAAGAAUAAGCACCGGCUAACUUCGUG
rnacentral:rRNA from 1 species